AUUGAACGCUGGCGGCAGGCCUAACACAUGCAAGUCGAGCGGAUGAAGGGAGCUUGCUCCUGGAUUCCGCGGCGGACGGGUGCGUAAUGCCUAUGAAUCUGCCUGGUAGUGGGGGAUAACGUCCGGAAACGGGCGCUAAUACCGCAUACGUCCUGAGGGAGAAAGUGGGGGAUCUUCGGACCUCGCGCUAUCAGAUGAGCCUAGGUCGGAUUAGCUAGUUGGUGGGGUAAAGGCCUACCAAGGCGACGAUCCGUAACUGGUCUGAGAGGAUGAUCAGUCACACUGGAACUGAGACACGGUCCAGACUCCUACGGGAGGCAGCAGUGGGGAAUAUUGGACAAUGGGCGAAAGCCUGAUCCAGCCAUGCCGCGUGUGUGAAGAAGGUCUUCGGAUUGUAAAGCACUUUAAGUGGGGAGGAAGGGCAGUAAGUUAAUACCUUGCUGUUUUGACGUUACCAACAGAAUAAGCACCGGCUAACUUCGUG
rnacentral:rRNA from 1 species